rnacentral:rRNA from 1 species
CGAAAUGCGAUAAGUAAUGUGAAUUGCAGAAUUCAGUGAAUCAUCGAAUCUUUGAACGCACAUUGCGCCCCUUGGUAUUCCGGGGGGCAUGCCUGUUCGAGCGUCAUUACAACCCUCAAGCUCUGCUUGGAAUUGGGCACCGUCCUCACUGCGGACGCG